rnacentral:tRNA from 1 species
GCCCGGUUAGCUCAGUUGGUAGAGCAUCAGACUUUUAAUCUGAGGGCCAUGGGUUGGAGUCCCAUAUCGGGAA